rnacentral:rRNA from 1 species
UGAAGAAGGUUUUCGGAUCGUAAAGCUCUGUUGUCAGCAAAGAACAGGAGAAAGAGGCAAUGCUUUUUCUAUGACGGUAGCUGACCAGAAAGCCACGGCUAACUACGUGCCAGCAGCCGCGGUAAUACGUAGGUGGCAAGCGUUGUCCGGAUUUAUUGGGCGUAAAGCGAGCGCAGGCGGUGAUUUAAGUCUGAUGUGAAAGCCCCCAGCUCAACUGGGGAGGGUCAUUGGAAACUGGAUCACUUGAGUGCAGAAGAGGAGAGUGGAAUUCCAUGUGUAGCGGUGAAAUGCGUAGAUAUAUGGAGGAACACCAGUGGCGAAGGCGGCUCUCUGGUCUGUAACUGACGCUGAGGCUCGAAAGCGUGGGUAGCAAACAGGAUUAGAUACCCUGGUAGUCCACGCCGUAAACGAUGAGUGCUAAGUGUUGGAGGGUUUCCGCCCUUCAGUGCUGCAGUUAACGCAUUAAGCACUCCGCCUGGGGGAGUACGACCGCAAGGUUGAAACUCAAAGGAAUUGACGGGGGCCCGCCACAAGCGGUGGAGCAUGUGGUUUAAAUUCGAAGCAACGCGAAAGAACCCUUACCAGGUCUUGACAUCCCUUUGACCGCCCCUAGAGAUAGGGUUUCCCCCUUCGGGGGCAAAGUGACAGGUGGUGCAUGGUUGUCGUCAGCUCGUGUCGUGAGAUGUUGGGUUAAGUCCCGCCAACGAGGGCGCACCCCUUAUUGUUAGUUGCCAGCAUUGCGUUUGGCACUCUACAAGGCUCCGGUGACAACCGGAGGA